CUGUCUCUGGGAUGUUCGCCAGCCGGUCUGAUUCCCCUGAGCCGAUAUCAUCUCUUUAGGAUGGUGUUCUGCAUAUUUAGAGCGUAUGCCUACCUUCGAGUAGGAAACCCAGCAAGUAUGCGUCACCUCCACCUUGAACUUUAGGGUUCAAGGGUAACGACAUGCAGCGGCAUCUUCGGAGCAUUU
rnacentral:other from 1 species